GCCAGAGAGACGCCAGUACUGCGCCGACCGGCCUCUGGCCGCUGAGGGGCCGCCGAGGAAGGGUCACAGUUCCUGUACCACACCCAUGAGAUGAGACUUCGGGAACAGCUGCAAGAGUUAGCCUGCCUGUUAUUCUCCCUGCUCCUCCCACAGGUGCACCACCCUCUGGACACUGCACUUAGCAGCCUUGGUGAUUGAACAGGCCAGAGUCCAGCUGCAGGUGAAUUCCAGGACCCAGAGGAGGCCUGCCAGGGUAGAUCAGUUCCUUACGAGGCUGAUUCCUUGCUUCAGGGGGAGCAGCAACCCACAUUUGCACGCCCCAGGCAUGCACGAUGCCGAUAGUUGAUAAGUUGAAGGAGGCGCUGAAGCCUGGCCGCAAGGACUCUGCUGAGGAUGUAGAGCUGGGGAAGCUCCUGGCUGCCUCAGCCAAGAAGGUUCUCUUGCAGAAGAUUGAGUUCGAGCCCGCCAGCAAGAGCUUCUCCUACCAGCUGGAGUCCUUGAAGAGCAAAUAUGUGCUGCUGAACCCCAGGACAGAGGGAGCCAGUCGCCCUAAGAGUGGAGAUGAACCACAAGCCAAGAGACAGGGUACAGGCAGUGAGCGCUUCUUUGGAAGCAACAGCGAUGGUGUCCCAGCACCACAGAAAGUGCUUUUUCCCACAGAGCGGCUCUCUUUGAGGUGGGAGCGUGUUUUUAGAGUUGGCGCAGGGCUGCACAACCUGGGCAACACCUGUUUCUUGAAUGCCACAGUACAGUGCCUGACCUACACACCACCUUUGGCCAACUAUCUGCUCUCCCGAGAACAUGCAAGGAGCUGUCACCAAGGAAGCUUUUGCAUGUUGUGUGUCAUGCAGAACCACAUCGUCCAGGCCUUUGCCAACAGUGGUAAUGCCAUCAAGCCAGUCUCCUUCAUCCGAGACCUAAAAAAGAUUGCCCGCCACUUCCGCUUUGGGAACCAAGAGGAUGCACAUGAGUUUCUCCGGUACACUAUCGAUGCCAUGCAGAAGGCCUGUCUGAACGGCUAUGCCAAGUUGGAUCGUCAGACACAGGCAACCACCUUGGUGCAUCAGAUUUUUGGAGGCUAUCUCAGAUCACGAGUGAAGUGCUCCGUGUGCAAGAGCGUCUCAGACACCUACGACCCCUACCUGGAUGUGGCGCUAGAGAUUCGGCAAGCUGCAAAUAUUGUGCGUGCUCUGGAACUUUUUGUGAAACCGGAUGUCCUGAGUGGAGAGAAUGCCUAUAUGUGUGCCAAAUGCAAGAAAAAGGUUCCAGCCAGCAAGCGCUUCACCAUCCACAGAACAUCCAAUGUCUUAACCCUCUCCCUCAAGCGCUUUGCCAACUUCAGUGGGGGAAAGAUCACCAAGGAUGUAGGCUAUCCAGAAUUCCUGAACAUCCGUCCAUAUAUGUCUCAGAGUAAUGGCGACCCUGUCAUGUACGGACUGUAUGCUGUGCUGGUCCACUCGGGCUACAGCUGCCAUGCUGGGCACUACUACUGCUAUGUGAAGGCAAGCAAUGGACAGUGGUACCAGAUGAACGACUCCCUGGUUCACUCCAGCAACAUCAAAGUGGUUCUGAACCAGCAGGCGUAUGUGCUCUUCUACUUGCGAAUUCCAGGCUCUAAGAAGAGUCCAGAGGGCCCUAUCUCCAGGGCAAGUUCUGUCCUUCCUAGUCGCCAGAGUGUGGUUCCAGAUCACACCAAGAAAAGUGCUGGCAAUGGGAUCACUUCCUCUCCCACAACUACAAAGCUACAAGGCCCUGUGACCAUGAGGAAGCCGCAGGCCCCUGAGGAAAUUGGUGUGCCUGUUUCCAGGAAUGGCUCCCUGCAAGGCCCAAAGUUACAGAAUGGAUGUGUGCCUGCAAAGUCACCCUUGGGGUCCCCUCCUCCCAGAUUGGCCCACACGCCCACACAUGGGCCAACCCUCCUGAAUGAGAACGGGAAGAAAGUGAAGAAGCAGGUCCCCUCGCAGCACUGUUCCCCUUCCCUCCGAACUUCUCAGGGCUCACCUGGUACCAGCGAACCUGGGAGCCGACGGCAGAGCUCCUGGGACAGCAGGGACAUUGUCCCCUCUACCUCACUAAAGCUCCUGGCUGAGACCACUGCCAGUGGGCAUGGCUUGAAGGGGGAAGACAAGAUUGCAGACCUUGAGAAGGAGACUUCCAGCAGCUCCAGCCCGGAGCACUCUUCUAGCAGCAGCCCUAAGGUCCCACAGGCCUCCGGGGGUGGAGCUGCCCAUGAUUCUCAGGGAACAAAGUGUCCCACCUCUGGUCACUCCAAAAUGCUGCCCAAUGGGUUGGAUUCUAAGAUGGUGAAGCUCAAGUUUCCUGUCCUGGGCAGCACUGCCAUCGAGCCCAUGAGCCUCAUGUCUCCUCCACCAGCCAAGAAACUGGCCCUGUCUGCCAAGAAGGCCAGCACCCUGCGGAGGGCGACCGGCAAUGACCUCCGUUCACCUCCGCCCUCACCACUCUCCGACCUCACCUACCCCAUGACAGCCACUCACCCCGUCGUUGCCUCCACUUGGCCUUUCAGUAAAUCCAGGGCUCUCUCACCUGCUCCCCGAUCAUCCAGCUGUCCGAAGCCUCCUGUCAGCACUCCCUCUGCAUCACUGUCCAGUAGUAUUCCCCAAACCCCACAGAUACCAGAGCCACAGAGCUGCUCUUCCACCCGGACUUCCCUGCCUCAGGUCACUGGGGACUUGGCAUCCCCUUCACACCAGCCCCUGGAAGCCAGCGAGGCCUCUCAGAGCCCCUCUAGGAAGAGGCACAGGAGCCCUGGGGGAAAGCCUCAGAUGCUUGGCUCAGAAGCAUGUAUCUCGCAGCUCCUGGGGGGGGCAAACGCAGUGCCUCGUAAGAAGAGGAAGAGGAAGAAGAGGAAGGGCCCAGAGAGCCUGGCAAUGGCCAUUCCUCAGGAGCAGAUGCAGGGGCCACCUUGGAGCCCCAAGAACAAGAAGGGACAGGCAGAGCUGCCAGCUCCCCCAUGGAAGGCAGAAGACACAAAGCCCCAGGUGGAUAACCAGCAAGUGAGCUAUGUUGUGGACAGCCAACAUGUGAGAAGCAGGAAAAGGAAGCGGAAGGGAGCAGAGGGACUCUGUGAAGAAGUCAGCCUUCACCAGGUUGCACCCUGGCACAGCAGCUGCACCUCCAUUGACCACAGAGAACGUGAGACCAAGGCAGAAUCCCCAAGGAAAAAGAAAAGGAAGAAAAGAAAGCCUGAGGCACAGCAGGAAGAGGAAGAAAACAAACAUCCAAAAGACUCGAGGAGCACAAAGCCCAGUGUCCCCAUGGGCAUAGAGUUGAGUGUGAACAGCCAACUUGCUGGGGACCACCCAGGGCUUGGACAGGCUCCUCUUGGACCGUGGAACAGGGAGCGAGAAUCUGAUGUGGUCCAGGAGUUGCUCAAGUAUUCAUUGGAUAAGGCUUACGGGAGACAAGUUCUGACUUGGGAUGGAGAACUGUCUGCGGUCAGUCGGGAUGCUAUUGAGGACAGCAAAAUGGCCCAGACUCAGACAGUGGUUGAUGAUUGGGACGAAGAAUUUGAUCGUGGCAAGGAGAAGAAAAUGAAAAAAUUCAAGAGGGAAAAGAGGAGAAACUUCAAUGCCUUCCAGAAGCUUCAGAGUAGACGGAACUUUUGGUCUGUGACUCAUCCAGCCAAGGCCACCAGCCUUAGCUACCGCCGGUGAACGUGAUGUCAAAAUAGCCUCCUGGAGCCGUCACUUCCUGGGAACCAUUUGUCUGGAUCUGAGGAGUGGCCUCAUGCAGACUCAACUGCCUAUCACCUCAGGCUCUGCUGUGAGCCUGCCACGUGGAGGGCUGCAGCAUCACUGCAGACAACCUGCUGUGGAGGCCUUGGGGACAUUCACAACUAGCCCCAGAAGAAACCUCAGCAGGUGGUGUCCAGCAGAGCUGACCACAACCUGUGGGACAUUUGGAAGGGGCCAGCAUCCUUGUGGUCAUGGACAGUAGUCUGGGUGGGCAAAGUCAUCUGCUCCUGUCUGGGACUGACAGUGGGGACAGGACCGUGCAUUUCCCGGUGCAUCCUGUGCCCAGAAUGGCAGGCAUGCAGUUGGAGGCUCUUCCUAGUGAGCCGUCACUUACCUCCUCCUGAGCCUGGCACUGUCCUGUCCUGCACCCCGCCCCUUUUGUUCCCUCUACGGGACAUGUGUCUGUAUGCCUUACUAUCUGCCUUGGAAAGGGAAGAGCUGGUGCCCACCUGCACCACCGCCUCUGCCUUUCUGGGACUGGCAAGGUAGCACUUUCAGCGCAUCUCAGAAGCAAAGGCUGUUUGGGGUGGGGAACUCUUGAAUUAUGUGCCAAUGCAUCUGCUUCUCAGGCUGCUAUCUGUUCCAGGGUGACUUUGCCACAGCUUUCCUUGCAGCUGAAAUAACCUAUGGGUCUCUAUGGAGGUGGUGGUAUAGGGGAUGAAUUCUCCACUAUUUUACUACUUAAUACAAAGCAUUUAUUUUUAACCAGGCCUGUGGCUUCCCAGCAGCAAUAUAUUCCCCUAAUAAUAUGCAAAUACUGGCUUUGUGUGCUCAAUUUUGUGAGUGCUUUUGAAUCUAGAUGAUUGUAUGACUCAAGAAGAUCCCUUUUUUAUCUUGCUCAAGCUGUGCCUGCAGACUUAUAAUUUAAUAAACAUGAGACUCCUCAGUGAAAGUGGUGUAUCCAAGGAAAAGAUAACACCCCAUCAGUAGAAGGUGUACAAGUACAUCGGAGGUCUUUCCUCAUGAGAUUCAUCCCCUCAUCUCUCCUGGGCUGCCCAGGGCACGCGGGCAGGAGCCCAGCCCCCUGGCCUGGCUGUUGCCUUCGUCAGUGCAACCCUUCUUGUUUGCUCUGCUCUCAGCUCACGACUUUGCUCAGUCCUUGGGUACUGAGAGGAGUUGCAUCCUCAUAUAGUGAGGGAUGGCUGAGGUGGUUCUGUCAGUGGUUCUUUUAGGUUUUUCUCCCUUUGGUUUUUUACAUUAGGGGAAAGAGGGAGGGAAUGGUGACACCGUGGCCUGAUCACUUCUAGACAACAGUGGAUGGUAGCUUUGAAUGCUGCUCAGGAUAGGCCUGGCAUUAGCUCACAGGCAGCUCUGUGGGCAGGGCUUGCUUCUCCAUUAGAGGGUUUGACUCAGUCUUAUAUUAACUGUUUCCCUGGGCAUAUUUAUUCCAUGACGCUCUGUUGCUGAAAAUGUAAGUUGUCUGCUAGCACAGACUUGAUCUCCUUUGUGUCUCUGUCCCCUCCUCCAGUUGGCCUCGUCUUUUCUCCUAGGCUGAACGUUGUAGGACCAUUUAUUGGGGAAACCAACUCUGUAUUCUCUCUGGCAGUUGUAAAUCCUGGCCUGCUUUCCUGUAGUGUUUGUCACUGUGGGGUGGAGGCAGGUCCUUCCCUUCUGCAGAAAACCAUCAACCAGACAGGCAUGAAUACGAAUGCGCCCAGAUAACCAUCCACAUUGUAGGUGACAUGUACAUAUAUAAAUACAUAGAAAUACCUAAACUUUUGUAUAACAGCAGUCACUUGGUUGGGUUAGAACCUGAGAGUGGAGGUAGGGGACCCAUGUGUAGUAGACCACCUCCCCAGUGUUCCCUUCAUCUUGCACACCUUCCACUGUCAGGAGUCAUUCUCCCCCCAUGUCCUGGUUGUGUAGCUGCACCUAUAUGUGAAGGGUUCCCACCUUUUCCACUUCCUUUCCAAGGACCUUGGGAGCCCUGGUUGUUCCUAGAUCUUGGUGCAAUAAAAUGUGUCUUUGUGAGUC